rnacentral:rRNA from 1 species
AUGACUGCGAGCGGCCGCAGCCGAGCCGACGUCGUGGAGGGGAGCAACAGCCAGCACAACUGCCGGCCGGCCAGCCAGCGGGGCGGAAACCAUAGGAAAAGCGUGCCAUGUCGUGCAUGCACGCACGCACGCACGCACAGGAACAAAAAGCCACGCUCGCAGUUGGCUUUACCGUCCCCAACCCCUCCCCCUAAAAAAUCCCGGUCGUUGCUUUCAGCUGGCUUUAUUUCACGGAAGAAAAAGGAAUUCCUCCUCAAUCCCCUUUUCGUACUACUAGUUUGGAUUUGGAGUAGUGCUAGUAGUGUGGGAGUGCUAGUUUACUGCUCGCAGGCAGCUGCGGCAUCCGGCAUCCCCCAUCUCGUCCUUGUCCUUCCCUCCCUCACUUGGCUUGCCCGCAUCCGCAUCCGCGUGCACCAGUCGCCACCGAUCGUGCGUCGGUUGCUCUCUCCACAUCCAGCGGAAAACUACGCCUCCCCCACCGCGCGCAGCCCCCUCCCUCCCUCCCUCGUAUCUCCGUAUCUCCGGGUCGGGGGUGGGUGA